rnacentral:sRNA from 1 species
GCUGGGCAUGGUUGUGCACGCCUGUAAUUCCAGCAGCUCAGGAGGCUGAGGCAGGAGGAUUGCAAGUUAAAAGCCAGCCUUAGCAACUUACUGAGGCCCUAAGCAAUUUAGGGAGACCUUGUCUCAA